rnacentral:rRNA from 1 species
ACAGGUGCUGCAUGGCUGUCGUCAGCUCGUGUCGUGAGAUGUUGGGUUAAGUCCCGCAACGAGCGCAACCCUUGUCCUUAGUUGCCAGCACGUAAUGGUGGGAACUCUAGGGAGACUGCCGGUGAUAAAUCGGAGGAAGGCGGGGACGACGUCAAGUCAUCAUGGCCCUUAUGCCCGGGGCUACACACGUGCUACAAUGGCCGGCACAGAGGGCGGCGAACCCGCGAGGGGGAGCUAAUCUCACAAAGCCGGUCGUAGUCCGGAUCGGAGUCUGCAACUCGACUCCGUGAAGUCGGAAUCGCUAGUAAUCGCGAAUCAGCAACGUCGCGGUGAAUACGUUCCCGGGCCUUGUACACACCG